AUAUAAUCUAUAUUUAUGCGGUGUCGAAAGACUUAAUAGGGAAUCGAGAAUGCUCGAGCUGUCCCAGCAACCGUGAUGCUGACAAGACUCAUAUUACCACUGCGCAAGCGGGAAGGGUGAGUUGCGAAUGAAGCUAAGCCGGUAGACCUGCCCAUAGAUCGCUUUAUUC
rfam:Clostridiales bacterium 38-18 SCNpilot_bf_inoc_scaffold_238, whole genome shotgun sequence.